ACAGUAUGCCUAAAAAGACGUACGCCUCCACCGUCUCUCUUUAUCUGCUCUCUCUCUCUCGCUCCUCCCUCAGUCCCUCUCUCUCCACCACCCAAAUAGGCUUCCAAAUCAGAUGCUAUAAACGACGGUUCUGAGGAAUCUGAGCGGUGGGUCUGCCGCUAUUGUGGAAAAGGAAGAAGAUCUGAGAUCUCAAAGUCUCGGACGAGAAGCUAUAUGUCUAAGAUCUGAGAUAACGAGGAUGGCCUGAGGUCUGGGAUCCGUGGUGACCAGGCUCCAAGGGGGAUUUAGAGGAUCUUUUACUGGUGACUAAGGUGUUCAUGUGCUGACUUGCACAAGGCAGAUACUGCUCCUGCAUCAGUGGUCUAUGGGUAGUAACAUCAAAGUAUCGGUUAUUCCUUACAUUUAGUCCAUACUUGCUGUUGUUUUUAGAGGUAAUUUAUGUAAACUGUAACACAUGGAAAGUGUUAUUUGGUUGGUCAUGUUAGGUUCAUGUCAAAAUUUACUACAUUUGCUAUAUGAAAGUAUGAAAUUAUGAUAAUGCUGAAUAGGAAUUAAUAGCAUGGAGAUGAAUGUGUUGCAUACCCGGUUGUGCGAGAAAUCCAGCCUUGAUUUGUCCAUUCCAGUGCUAGUCUGUACUCUUGAAUUUGAAGGUGGGGUCCCAUAGUUGCAUGAUGAAGCAGGAUUGCAUGGUUGUUCCUAGCUACUAUAUCAAAUGCAAAUGUAGCAGUGUUGUAUACGA